rnacentral:rRNA from 1 species
GCUUAUCACCAUUCCAGAUUGAAUAUACCCGAUCUCGUCUGAUCUCGGAAGUCAAGCAAUCUCGGGCUUGGUUAGUACUUGGAUGGGUGACCGCUUGGAAAUAUCAAGUGUUAUAAGCA